GACAGCGCCUGGUGAUCGGCUCCUUACCAGCUCACCUCUCGCCGCACAUGUUUGGAGGAUUUAAGUGCCCUGUAUGCUCAAAAUUUGUACCCUCAGAUGAAAUGGAUUUGCAUCUUGUAAUGUGUUUAACAAAGCCAAGAAUAACCUAUAAUGAGGAUGUACUGAGUAAAGAUGCUGGGGAAUGUGCAAUAUGCCUUGAAGAAUUGCAGCAGGGAGAUACUAUAGCACGACUGCCUUGUCUAUGCAUAUAUCAUAAAGGCUGCAUAGAUGAAUGGUUUGAAGUAAAUAGAUCUUGCCCUGAGCACCCUUCAGAUUAAGCAUCAGCUUCCUGUUUUAUAGGUUUUCUCGUCUUCACAAGAUGCUUGAAAAACCAAGAGGAUAUGAAGAUCUGUCUCUGGAGAAACAAAAAUGCAGGCAUACUCAGCCAGAAAUCUGAGUUUUGUGAGACUUGGUAAUACAGAGAUGGACAAUCAUACUGGGGUAAAAACCCUGCUGAAGAAAGGACAGUGACCACAGAACUCAGUGUACCAAACAUGCAUACAAAGGACACACAGGGAUUUUGAAAAUGCUGCAUAUCCCUUAAUAGUCAUCUACAUAGGUAAUACUGAUAAACAUUUUGUAUUCAGAUGCCAAAGUUAACUGAUUUCAAAGUUGAUUUACUUUUUAUUAAGUUCUCCAGAGCUGCACAACUAGUUAUGUUUUGAUUUGUUUUGUUUUUCAGUUUGGGGUCUCUUUGUUUUCCCCAACAUAAUGUUCCUGCAUUCAUCUGUUCUUAAAUUGAAAAACAUAUAAUUUACUUCUUAUAAAUUAAAGUGUUAAAUGUGAAACCAAGAAAUGUAAUCAAGCAGUAAAAACAUUCUCUGAAUGUAGACCAUGAUCUCAAGUUCUUCCAUUUUUUCCCCCAAGAGUGAAAAAUAGACUUCUACAUAGGAAAGCUAAAAUAUGUUAAUAUUUUUAAAUUAAAGGUUUAAUAUCAGAAUGCAGUCCAAAGAGCAAAUCACAUUACAUAAUUACAUUUUAAUUAAAUAUAGAAUAUUCUACUGAAUUGCAAUUUAUUAAAUAUUCUUAUCCUCUUAAAUAAAACUGCUCAGCAGUUAAUCAGCAGUGAAUCAUCUUGCAGCUAUGCAACUUAAAAAAAAUACAGAUUACCAAUUUUAAGUGCUGCCAGCUAAAAUAACUGUUUUAACGGGUAUCUUUUGUUUGUUCUUUUCAUGUAAUUAUUUUAUUGUGCUUUGCAUCUCCAGGCAGUUCUCUCAAAUUUGGGUAAAAUGUUCAGCAGGCUGUAAACUUAAGAAAAGGGUAAAAUAAAAUUUUCUGGAGUGAAACUUGGAAUAAUUUGAGGGAGAUUUUAUAUACCUUAAAAAAUUGUAACUUAAUUGGGAUGCCAGAUUUAUAACAAUUUGCAUCUUUAAUUUUCCAGAUAAUCUGGAGGUUAGCAUUUGAUAAAUGAUUUUUUUAAAGUAGAUAUGAAGAUUUUGUUAAUUUAUAAUUUAUUCAUGUGUUAUUACUGUAAUUGAAAAUGUUAUAGACACUUUUAAAUUCAGUUUGUAUAGAAAGAAAUGUGUUAAACAAAAUUAUGUUAAUAAAUAUUCCCACAUAAUACAUCUGAAUGGUUAAAAAUACUGGAAGAGUUGUCAGGGCUACAAUAGUGAAUGUCUUUUUUUUUUUAAUAUCAAAAAUAUCGAUAAGUAGGUUUUGUGUUUUCAACAUAGGGAAAAUGUUAUCAGUGACUAGGUGGUGCACUUUACUUGGUAUAAUUGAAAGUUGCACAGUAAGUACUGUUUCCUUGUUUUAAUCUUUCUUUACUCCUAAUGUAUUUAAGAAUUUGCUGUUUUAUUUAACGCUGCUACUCUUAAUCUUCUCUAAAUUUUUUCCCCUACUUUUUCUGGCUUCUGUUUCACAUUUUUUAAAAGGGCAAGUACAGGAGCAACUGCUGCUACCCAGAAAAAUUUGUGUAUUAUAAAUAAUUAAGAGUUUUUAAUUGCUUUUUGUAUGAUUCCAGAUCAGAUAACAUUUUCCCUGAAGUUAUGCUGUGAAAUGCCUUUUGUUAUGCUGCAAUUGCUAAAGGAAUCCAAAACCUCCAUUUUGACAGCUGAAGGCACAGUUUAAUAGGUGCUUUUUAACUAGUUAUGGAAAAUAUUCGUCCCUUAACGAAACAAUUCUUUUUCUGAUUUUUUUCUGUUACCAUGAAGUCUUAAUUUGAAUUCAUUUUAUUUCAUGUUUUCGAUUUUGUAAGCUUUUAUACCCUCCUGCCCAGCCUCCUCAAGUACAACCUCUUAGAAUGUGAAUAAUUGAUUCAUUUUCUAUCACUGGUAUACUGUUGUGAUGAAAAUUGUUUUGUUGUCUUCCGUUCUUAAAGGAAGAGAUUUAUUACAGCUGUGAGGAUUAACUAUAUUCUCCUGGAAGUUGAUUUUGUGAUAGGUUAAUGCAAAAGUCAUUGCAAAAACUGCCAUUACUUUUGCACCAAUUUAAUAGUUCCGUUGUUUACUUUCUAACCUAUAUUGGCUUAAAUUCACUUUUUAGCCCCUCUUUGUCAUAAGGUUCUGUGCUGCAUUUGCUACAAUAGAAGCUCCUAUGGUUUUAAAGAAAGUUCAGUGUUUGUCAGUGUCAAGUGCUACUUGAUUAUUAUAUUUGUCUGGAACAGUAUUCACUUAAAUCUGUUUAUAGCAAUCCCUUUUUUGACAAAAUUUACAAAGUUGACAUUUUUACUUUAAAUUCAAUCUCUGUCAGUGACUUCCUAAAAAGAACAACUUAGAAAUUGAGGGAAAAAAAUGUUUUUAAAGCCCAAAUGUUCCAGUUUUUAUUCAAAGUCAAAGUCAUUAUUCUGGAAAAUACAAGCAAUAUGCUAUAUAAUGUCACUUAAAAUAUUUGUAAAUUUAUUAUGCAAACACUGAAUAGUAUAAGUAAGAUAUAAAAUCACAAUAGAUAUUUAAAUACUAAGCUGAAACUACUGACAACUAAUUAUUAUGAGGGAUACAAUAAAGAUUGAAAGCCUAGGUUAUCAAGUUGGUUUUAGCUUUCUAGAAUCUUUGUAAAUACUCAUGUUCAAAUAAGAUCACACAUGCAUAUGUAGAAAGCAAUAUGUUCUGAAAGUUCACUUUAGUGCCACUGUUUGUCCAUAAUGGAUUUAUUGCCAAUUUUGAAUCCUCACCUUACUUUGAUCUGGCUUUUUUUUUUUUUUUUUUUCCCCUUACCAGAAUGUUUAGGAGAAAGUAAAAUUAUUCUGUUUUACUUUGGCUUUUUGCCAGAGAUACAGACUAUAGUCUUAAUAUGUGUUUUUCAGAUCUGGUUACAAGACGGAUUAUAGAUUGUGUUUUAAGAGCAGUGUUGUAAUUGAAAUAUAAAUAACGGCAUAACUUUUUUCGUGUUAGCAAAAACAACAUUAAAAAGGUUAUGUUACAUAAUAUGUAGGUUUUGGUUUCUUAGUGCAACUCUUAUAUUUCUUUUAAAUGUUACGUAGUUAUUUCAGUUUUCACUCUAGCUACUUUACUAAAAUGUAGCCCCCAAAUAGCCUCAGCAUAUCUGCCAUAUGUAUUUCAAAGAUUACAGUCUGAAUGAGUUAAUGAAAAUGGCAGGUUCCUUUUCAAAGUUUGUUUGACUCACAGCCAUAUUGCUAAGUUUGGGUAUAGUGAAGUUAAAAACAGUCACUUAAAUUAGUAUCUUAUAGCAAGAUAUACUGACAUUGUUUUAAAUGAGAAAGACUGUAAACUCAUUGUAAAUAUUACCUAACAUAAGAGUGGAAGAGGGGAAUUUUUUAAAAAAUAAGCUAUAUUUGAACAAAGCAUGAAACUCUUGUUUUAAAAUUUAAGAAUAAUUGAAUUUACCAUCUAAUUGACAUCUGUACUGUGCAUUGAUAGUAAUAUCCAAAUCAUCUUAUUCUUUCACUGAGGAAGUUCUCAUAUAAAUCAAAUUGCUGAGAACUAUAUAAAACUACAUAGAGGUAAAUGGUGCUUAUUAAAUAUGAGUAUAGUUUGUUACUUGCUGGAAGUCUUCUAGUUCAUUUGGACCAUUUUCUAACAAUUUUGAUUGAUCCUGAGGUGAGCUCAGUAUCUAUUGGCAAUGAGUGAUUAAAUGUGAAGUGCCCUUGUUCAGUGUCCCUUGUUCUUGUACAGGUAUUUUCUUAGUUUAAAAAAAAAAAAAAAUUCUAGCAUGCGAACAUUUGUCUUUGGCCUAUUCCCUUUUUUCUGAAGUGUGUAACUUCUGAUUUUUUCUUUGCUGUGUUGUGAAUAACAGUAGUUAAAUUCUCUGUUUUACUAUCUACUUUUCUUUUCUCCCCAAAUCUUUUCAUUCUAAAACUAAAUUGCUUGGUUUUCUUUAGAGGAAAUUGCUACGUGGUGUACUCAUAGUGAUUCAUAUUCAAGAAUAGCUGAUAAACCUUUCUAGGUAAUAACUUAUCCAAACAAUACUUUGAGUAUCAUAUUUUGUGAAUGCCUUGCUUAAGCUAGGAAACUGAAUAUUCUUUUUAAAUCAUAGAAUUCCUGUAUUAAAUGUGAGCACACAGUCUCCAAAGUCACCUGAUUCUCUGUGGAAAAUGAAAGGCACUGAAGGAAACCAGAUAUGUUAAUACUUAGUUUUAGUUGAAAAUGCAACAUUACUGUACUUAGAGCGGGGGUUGGUUUAUUUUUAGAUAUUUAAGCUAUCAUUAAUUUUAGACCAAUGGCUAAUAAUAAGAGCGAUUUUUGGUUGCUCAUUUAUGGAGAGACAAAGAACAGCACGGCAUAAACUUACAUCACAGAAAUAAAUGAAAAACUUUAAGUGAUAAAACUGUGUUUUCUAUGAACCAGCAUUGUAUAUGAACCAACAUUGUGUUUCUUAGCUCUGACCUGAACAGUGAGGUACCUCAGGACCCCUAGACUUGGCACUAGAAAUGACAGAGUUCUCCUGUUACUAAAUUCUCAUGCUUUCCUUUUCUGACCUAGUAGGUUGAAAUUGGUGGGCACUGAUGAUUUAUGUUUGAUAAAGUUCUGCUUGUAUCCUGUUACUGGUAAUUCUGGCACCAAAAUCUCAAAAGGUUUGAUUAUUAGUAGCAUUUUGAGUACCUGUGUUCAUAUAAUACAGUUAGCAGACCCUUAUAGAAGUCAAAAGAGAUUUUGGAAUUUGGUGAUACUGGUCUUUAUAACACUAGCCUAUUACAUUUUCUUUCUUUAUAAUAACUGUUUAUGUGAGUUUCAUUGAAAAUCAUGGCUCUAUUGCUUUAUUCAUGGUUUCCACAACUCUUUCUGUAACACCUUAAUUUUCUCUCUUAGGUAUUUUCCUGUUAAAUAAGAUAUCAAAAGCAUCAAUCACAAGACAGAGAAAAUGUAUUAGGAACAGCUUGUAUUAGUAUAUUCUAAAUUGAAAUGAAAAAGCUCAUUAUUCCUAUUUUAAUAAAUAAAACUCCCAAAUGAUCUUGCUAAAUUAUCCCAUUAUUUAGAAGUAGAAAAUAAGAGUGCUUUCAUGGAAAUUUGUCAUAUUCUCCCUUCUAUCUAGAGGUUGACAAUAAAUUGCAAUAAAACUAAGAAAUAGCUGAAUGCUGAAAAAUACCAUCAAUUAAUGUUAUGGCUUCUUUAUUUUUGUAUAUCCAUUCCCACAAAUUGAAUUUAAAAUUAUUAAUGAAAAUUCUAUAAUAAGUAAUAAUGCGUGUAUUAGUACUGGGCAAAGAAGUCUUUCUUUGUUACAUUAACCAUUAGUAAAAGAUGUACUUUGACAUUUCUGAUGUAAAACCUAUAUGUAAAUGUUGUAAUUGAAAUAUGAUUGGACAGCUGUCAAGUUUUGGGGAGGGAAGCAGAUGCCGGCGUUCUCUGCUGAAAAGACAAGAUGGCACUUGACAGACCACAGCAGAUGGAGCCGGAAGAGGAAAAGGCAGGCAGUGGACUCUGCCAGUAUUAUCUGUUCAAGAUUGAAGAACUGCAGCUGUUUUUGAAUGAUAAGACCCUAAACCUUUGGAGGCAGCAGGUGCACAGGAAUGAACUAAAUACUAAAGUGUGCCGAUUUCAGGAGGAGCUACAGCUGCUGCAGGAACAGGACUCCUAUGUCGGGGAAGUAGUCCAGGCCAUGGAUAAGAAGAAAGUGUUGGUCCAGGUGCAUCCCAAGAACAAGUUUGUCGUAGAUGUGGACAAAAAUAUCAGCAUCAGUGACGUGACACCCAGUUCCCUGGUGGUUCUAAGAAAUGACAGCUACACUUUGUACAAGAUCCUACCCAACAAGGUGGACUCAUUGGUGUCACUGAUGAUGGUGAAGAAAGCACCAGAUUCGACUUAUAAAUUAAUUGGUAGACUGGAUAGGCAGAUCAAGGAGAUCAAAGAAGUGAUCGACCUGCCUGCUAAGCAUCCCCAGCUCUUCAAAGUACUGGGCAUUGCACAGCCCAAGGGAGUGCUGCUUGGAAGACACUGUUGGCCUGGGCCCUGGCUUAUCAUAGGGACUGUACCUUUAUUCAUAUCUCUGGCUCUGAAUUGGUACAGAAAUUAAUUGGGGAAUUUCUGUGAUGGCAGAGAAAAUCCUCAUCUGUCAUCUUCACGGAUGAAAUCGACUUGAUUGGCACCUCAUAGCUGGAGGGGGUUGCUGGAGGGACCAGUGAAGUGCAGCAGACAAUGCUUCGAGGAUGGCUUUGAGGGUACCAAGAGUAUCACGGUGUAUCACGGCUACUAAUACGAUUGAUAUCCUGUACUCGGCACUGCUUUGCCCAGGGCACAUUGACAGAAAAAUUGAGUUCCCACCCCGCAAUGAGGGGGCCUGACUGGACACUUUCAACUCUUUCAAGAUUCAUUCUCAGAAAUCAACCUGACCCAGGGGAUCAACCUGAGAAAAAUUGCUGAGCUUAUGUCAGGAGCAUCGGGCUGGAGUGAAGGGCAUGUGCACAGAAACCGGCCUGUAUGCUCUGAGUUAACAGUGAGUCCAUGUUACUCAGAAGGACUUUGAGAUAGUACAAAGUCCUGCCUCAUGCCAAAGGACAGUGAGGAAAAACAUGUCCAUCAAGAAACUAUGGAAUUGAGUGGACAUCUUUUGUGUGUAUCCCUACAAUAAAACUCAGUGGAACA